rnacentral:lncRNA from 1 species
GAAAAUGGAGGCACAGGGAGAUAAAGCAGCUUGCCCAGAAUUACUGCAGUCUUACUUGGUGUUCUCCUCUUGGCUUUGUAGUGGGGUAGCUUCUUGGCAGCUUGUGGCAGGAACAAUGCAGAUAUCUACCCAGUGCAGGCUUUCACAUUUCUCACAGUGCCCAAGUGGCUUCAAGGAGUUCCCCUGUCAUUCUUAGCCCCCAAACUGGAAGCCCUGAGGAGCUUGGAGCUCCUUUCCCAGCUCAUUUGACACUUGGCCCCCACCCAAAAGGAUUUUUGGGUAUUUUCUUUGAAUUUGGUCUGCAAGGCAAGGGGUAGGGAGAAGGGAGUUAAUUUAGGUGUCUGUGAAGGAAGGCAGUGGGGUCAGCUCAGUUCCAGUGGAUUUCUGAAUACCCCUAAUUUCAGCCUGACAGUGUAGCCCCUAGACGGGGAUGGGGGGUGCUGGGUAGGGGUGUGCACUGCUUUCGCAGACACUGUGUGAAGGCCUUUGCGCCGGUGGGGGCCAGCUGGUGGAGGGCACUUGCCCAGACUGAGAAUAAAGUGCGUCCUGUUUCUGGGGGAGGGGAAGAGGGGCCAAUGGUCUGUGGCAAAUAUUUGGUAGCUGCUUUGCCAAGGG